AGUAUCUUAAGGCAGCUCAGGCAGUGUGUUCACAUAUUUUCUUCCACAUGACUCCUGCGGUCAUAAUGAACAAAGAUGUUUGACAAUGCUGGAAAUGAUAAAGAAUCUAGUAAAAGUUAUGCAGUCAGAGUCUCACACAUCCAAAGACCCAAUUACAGAAUUUGUUGAAUGCCUGUAUGUUAAUUUUGACUUUGAUAGGGCUCAGAAGAUGCUGAGGGGAUGUGCAUUGGAUGACUUGAUGGCUUGCCAUGAGAAUUUCAUUGAAAAUGCCCCAUCUCUUCCAUAUUUGAGACUUUUGGUUAUAUCCACCAAUGUACCAGUAUUAAUAUGUUGGUAGAUUAAACUGAACAUGAAUGACUCCAGAAGAGACUGAGAAGUGGAUUGUGAAUUUGAUUAGAAAUGAAAGACUGGAUCCAAGAUUUAUUCUAAAUGAGGUUGUGUGAUUAUGAGUAACAGUGCAGUCUCACUUUAUCGGCAAGUAAUUGAAAAGACCCAAAGCCUUUCUUUUAGAAGCCAUAUGUUGGUCAUGAAUAUUGAAAAGAAACUUAUUCAGAAUAGUAGGUCAGAGGCUCCUAACUGGACAACCCUAGAUUCUGGGUCUACUAAAAAACAGUAAAGAAUAGAUGAAAAAAAGAAAGAUGAAAUAAUAAA
rnacentral:lncRNA from 1 species